GGAGAGAUGGCCGAGUGGCUUAAGGCGGCGGUCUUGAAAACCGUUGUAGGGCAACCUACCGGGGGUUCGAAUCCCUCUCUCUCCGCCA
rnacentral:tRNA from 2 species